rnacentral:lncRNA from 1 species
UCUUGGUGUGGUUCUGGAAAGCAUUCUUUAGGCACAUCCUUAUUUUUAUAUGUCUCAGUAGAGAGGUCUUCAGGCCCCGGUGUUUCUUGGUAUAUUUCAGGUGAAUAUUCUUCAAGCUGGGAUGUUUCUUGGUAUAUUUCAGGUGAAUAUUUUUCAGACCCAGGAGUUUCUUGGUUUAUUUCAAUUGAAUAGUCUUCAGAAUGAGGUGUUUCUUGGAUUGUUUUAUGAGAGGGGGCUUUAGG